UGUGAUGGCACAUUAUUCUAGUCAAUUAAACUUACUAUGAAGGUGAACCUAAAAAGUCACUAAAGAGCAUAUCUGUGAAACUUCUUGUGUUUGCUUUAUGCGCCCAGCUUAGGGUGGAUGCUGGAAGGUAAGGUUAUUGGGCACUCAUAAUGGCAUAUGAUACUGACCCAAUAUCCGUGGAGACCUAUCUUUGUGUUUUGUGAUAAAUAACAUGAUACGAACUAGGAUUAAACCUACUAUGUGGGGAAACUUACGAGUAGUGUAGCUUGUCUUGCGUGAUUAUGGGGAAUAAUUGAUCAGUCAAAUAAUUCCUAGCUAGAUUUAUUUGAUAUUGCAAUUUGAAACCAUAGUUGCAAAAAAGAACUAAUAGUAAGCGUUGCUUGAGGAAAUCUCCUAGAGUGACAUUUUCAUGGGAUUACAGUAUGUACUAAGUGGUAAUCAAGUCAUACAUUUGGUGACAGUGUAUUCUUUUCUUUAAAGGGAAACCGCAAGUUUGGUAACAAACUGUAGAAAAGAGGGAAAUCCUACUUGACCUAAGACAUAAAGUUAACCGUGAGAAUUGCCAUUUUAUUAAUU
rnacentral:sRNA from 1 species